GGUGGCUCAGUGGUAGAGCGCUUGUCUUGCAUGCAUGAGGAGCUGGGUUCAACUCCUCAGCACCA
rnacentral:tRNA from 1 species